UUUUUUUUUUUUUUUAAGGGGGACAUUAGUGGCAACUGGCAAUUAUCAAAUUAUAAAAAGGACCAAAAUAAUAGUUUCACAUGUAAAGAAUCCAAGAGCAUUUUCCUUCCAAUAACAAGGAUGUUAUAAGGUGAAAACAGUUAAAUAUUUGUUAAGGAAGCAAGCAAGCAAUCAAACUGCAACAUGGGUCUCAAAUUGUAAAAACAGAAUUUUUUGAAGAAUUAGCUAAUUGCUGUACUUGUAUUUGAUAGAGUGAAAUGUGCUUACUAUCAAUCCUUUACAUUGAUCAAG
rnacentral:misc_RNA from 1 species